AUAGGGGUAAGGGGACAGGGAUACUAGAGUGAUGGAGGUAGAUAUGUAUAGGGGUAAGGGGACAGGGAUACUAGAGUGAUGGAGGUAGAUAUGUAUAGGGGUAAGGUGACAGGGAUACUAGAGUGAUGGAGGUAGAUAUGUAUAGGGGUAAGGGGACAGGGAUACUAGAGUGAUGGAGGUAGAUAUGUAUAGGGGUAAGGUGACAGGGAUACUAGAGUGAUGGAGGUAGAUAUGUAUAGGGGUAAGGUGACAGGGAUACUAGAGUGAUGGAGGUAGAUAUGUAUAGGGGUAAGGUGACAGGGAUACUAGAGUGAUGGAGGUAGAUAUGUAUAGGGGUAAGGUGACAGGGAUACUAGAGUGAUGGAGGUAGAUAUGUAUAGGGGUAAGGUGACAGGGAUACUAGAGUGAUGGAGGUAGAUAUGUAUAGGGGUAAGGUGACAGGGAUACUAGAGUGAUGGAGGUAGAUAUGUAUAGGGGUAAGGUGACAGGGAUACUAGAGUGAUGGAGGUAGAUAUGUAUAAGGGUAAGGUGACAGGGAUACUAGAGUGAUGGAGGUAGAUAUGUAUAGGGGUAAGGUGACAGGGAUACUAGAGUGAUGGAGGUAGAUAUGUAUAGGGGUAAGGUGACAGGGAUACUAGAGUGAUGGAGGUAGAUAUGUAUAGUGGUAAGGUGACAGGGAUACUAGAGUGAUGGAGGUAGAUAUGUAUAGUGGUAAGGGGACAGGGAUACUAGAGUGAUGGAGGUAGAUAUGUAUAGGGGUAAGGUGACAGGGAUACUAGAGUGAUGGAGGUAGAUAUGUAUAAGGGUAAGGUGACAGGGAU